rnacentral:rRNA from 1 species
UACGGAGGGGGCUAGCGUUGUUCGGAAUUACUGGGCGUAAAGCGCUCGUAGGCGGAUUGGUCAGUCAGAGGUGAAAGCCCAGGGCUCAACCUGGAACUGCCUUUGAUACUGCCAGUCUAGAGUUCGGGAGAGGUGAGCGGAAUUCCGAGUGUAGAGGUGAAAUUCGUAGAUAUUGGAGGAAACACCAGAGCGAA